UCCAGACUCCUACGGGAGGCAGCAGUGGGGGAUAUUGCACAAUGGGGGGAACCCUGAUGCAGCGACGCCGCGUGGGUGAAGGAGCGUUUCGGCGCGUAAAGCCCUAUCGGCAGGGAAGAAGGAGGACGGUACCUGACUAAAAAGCCCCGGCUAACUACGUGCCAGCAGCCGCGGUAAUACGUAGGGGGCAAGCGUUAUCCGGAUUUACUGGGUGUAAAGGGGGCGCAGACGGCAGCGCAAGCCAGGAGUGAAAGCCCGGGGCCCAACCCCGGGACUGCUCUUGGAACUGCGCGGCUGGAGUGCAGGAGGGGCAGGCGGAAUUCCUGGUGUAACGGUGAAAUGCGUAGAUAUCAGGAGGAACACCGGUGGCGAAGGCGGCCUGCUGGACUGCGACUGACGUUGAGGCUCGAGAGCGUGGGGAGCAAACAGGAUUAGAUACCCCAGUAGA
rnacentral:rRNA from 1 species